rnacentral:lncRNA from 1 species
GCUGAGGUAGCUUUGCUCUUUUUAAGUGGGUGGUAGACUGUAGGUGACUGAUUAAAGUUUCUUUAAUAGUUCAGGAUAUGAAGAGUCUAGAGUCAGGAAGAAUCUACUAACUUUCCUGAUUUUUAUUGGCUCUGAGAUCUGAAGCCAGUUUUUUGUUGUUGUUGAGUAUAUGGGAUUGUCAGGCAGAUCUGGCUGUGGAAAGGAGACUGUGGGCAGCAAGUUUAGAGGCGUGACUGAAAGUGGCGCUGUGACCUUAGCUGCUGAAUCAGCUUUCUGGUUACUAUGGGCAACAGCCUUGUUUUCUUUUUGAUGUCCUUUGCAGUGGAUCACAGCUACCUGCUGAGAAACUCCUGGAGAGCAGAGCCAUGCCUGCCAUUUCCAUCAUUGCAUUACCACCACCCAGCACAGUGCCUGGCACAAAAGAGUUGCUCAAUAAAUAAAUCAGGAUGAAUGGAUAAAUACACGGACAGGCACUUUGAACUACAGAUGAGCUUAAAUACUUUGUGUUUUUCUUAGUCAAACAUGUGCAAUUAAGCAUGUGAUAAAUUAUAUGAUGACCACACCUGUGUCUUGCCUGAUGAUCUUUGCAAUCACUAAACAAAGUCAAUUUUGCCUGUUUUGACAGUUCUGUUUUCAACCUAAUCUGGUUCUUUUAACUUCUGGCUGUUGGCUUUGUUUGCGUUGUUAGCCUGACAAAGUGGCAGAUAUUGGUAUAAGCUCUUUUGUUUAAAU